GCCUUGGUGGUGCAACAGUUAGACUCUCAGCUGCUAACUGAAAGGUUGGUGGUUCCAAUCCACCCAGUGGCU
rnacentral:tRNA from 1 species